rnacentral:rRNA from 1 species
GAUGAACGCUGGCGGCGUGCCUAAUACAUGCAAGUCGAGCGAACAGACGAGGAGCUUGCUCCUUUGACGUUAGCGGCGGACGGGUGAGUAACACGUGGGUAACCUACCUAUAAUACUGGGAUAACUUCGGGAAACCGGGGCUAAUACCGGAUAAUAUUUCGAACCGCAUGGUUCGAUAGUGAAAUAUGGCUCUGCUAUCACUUAUAGAUGGACCUGCGCCGUAUUAGCUAGUUGGUAAGGUAACGGCUUACCAAGGCAACGAUACGUAGCCGACCUGAGAGGGUGAUCGGCCACACUGGAACUGAGACACGGUCCAGACGCCUACGGGAGGCAGCAGUAGGGAAUCUUCCGCAAUGGGCGAAAGCCUGACGGAGCAACGCCGCGUGAGUGUUGAAGGUCUUCGGAUCGUAAAACUCUGUUAUUAGGGAAGAACAAACGUGUAAGUAACUGUGCACGUCUUGACGGUACCUAAUCAGAAAGCCACGGCUAACUACGUG